GCACCGGUGGUGUAUGGUACACACAAUCAACUCAUGUUGGAUGCAAAGAAUGAGUAAAAUUAUGUGUGUCCGGGGUUUGACUCCCCGCCGGUGCA